UGAAAUUUAGUUUACUAAUAAAACGCAUACUUGUCAAGUAUGAGAAACUACUAGUAAUUUCAA
rnacentral:tRNA from 1 species